CUUCCCAAAGAGAGGAUUAGGAGGGGGGACAGAUGAAAACUUCACCACCAUUUUUUUCGAAAAGAAAAGAAUAAAAAUAAAAAUACUGUUUUGUUAAUAGAUGUGAAGGGGGAAGUGAUACGCGGGCAGCUGGGUUAGUUAGGUGGCCAAAAGGUCACUGUCUAUCUCCAACAGAGAAAGAGAAAAGCAUGCCUAAGUAGAAAUUUAAUAAAUUAGUAUGUAUGACUUGGAGGAACAGAGGAGUUCUUUGUUCAGAAAUAGCCACAAAUUAUUACUCCUUUUUCCCUCGUAACAGUCUUGCUCGUCUUUUUAAGUCUUAAACUCUUACCACAAUUCAAAAUCAAAAAGAAACCACCACCCCCUAAAAAAAACAAUAUCUGGAGAGCUCUUAAUCAGCUUCCAAGGAGGUGUAAUAUAAACUAUGUGAUUUGGAAAGACUGUAGCUGGUAAAUUUACCUGGUAGAUAUGAGGUGUAGCUGCUUUGGUUCAAAAGGGAGUGCUGCCAGGCCUAAUCUUGACGCAGAUGAGGAAUUGCUUCGUGAUAUCAACCAUUUCUCAUAUAAUCAGUUAAGAUCAGCAACAAACAACUUCCAUUUGACCAAUAAGAUUGGACGAGGAGGCUUUGGAAUUGUGUACAAGGGAACCCUAAAAGACGGAAGACAAAUCGCUGUGAAGACACUCUCCGCUCAAUCAAAGCAAGGAAUGCGGGAAUUUUUGAAUGAGAUCAAUACUUUAUCAAGAGUUAGGCAUCCGAACCUUGUUGAACUAAUAGGGUGCUGUGUUCUUGGAGCUAACAGAAUUUUAGUGUAUGAAUAUGUAGAAAAUAAUAGCCUUGAGCGUGCAUUACUAGGUUCACAGAAUACAAAUACUACACUGGACUGGGGAAAAAGAUCUGCAAUUUGCUUCGGUAUUGCCAAGGGCCUUGCUUUCCUGCAUGAAGAACUCGUGCCACAUAUCGUGCACAGAGACAUUAAAGCCAGUAAUGUACUUCUUGACAAAGAGUAUAACCCAAAGAUUGGAGAUUUUGGGCUGGCUAAACUCUUUCCAGAUGAUAUCACUCAUAUUAGCACGAGAAUAGCUGGAACAACUGGUUAUUUGGCACCAGAAUAUGCUAUGGGAGGUCCAUUAACCAUGAAGGCUGAUGUGUACAGUUUUGGGAUCCUCAUCCUUGAAAUAAUUAGUGGCAGAAGCAGUUCAAAGCCCAGCUGUGGAGGAAUGGAGAAGCUCCUCCUAGAAUGGGCAUGGGAACUUUAUGAGGGCGGCAAACUUUUGGAGCUGGUGGAUCCGCAACUAGGAGAAUUUCCAGAGGAAGAAGUCAUUAGGCACAUGAAAGUUGCCUUAUUCUGUACCCAGGAAGUAGGAAGCCGGAGGCCACUCAUGAGCCAGGUUGUUGAAAUGCUCUCGAAGAACAUCCGGCUUAAUGAGAAGCUCCUUUCAGCACCAGGUUUCUUUCGAGAUUUAUCUGGCCUUAGUGGGGGACCAUCAGUAACAAAAAAGUCAUCUACUGAUUCUACUGGCCUUCAUACAAGCUCCAUUCCGGGAACAAUCACUGAGUUGGCACCUAGAUGAAGAAUAUUAUUUUGUAGGUAUUGACACCCAGCAUUUGCGAGCACCCUCGACAGGAAUACGGGAAGAAUUAGUUACUAGGAAAAUUCGAGUAUGUAAUUACGCAUUCUGUAAGGAAGAAGAAGAGAGAGAGUAGGAAAUAAAGAGUCGGAGUUUGCAAAGUGAUUGAGUUGAUUUGUCUGAAAUUGGGACGAAUUAUAGAACCAAACUCAAAAUCUAACACUGUUUAGUUGUUCUGUUAAUAGAAGGGAUUAGAUUAUAAGUUUUGAAAACUUUUUGACCAUUUGUUUGCAUCUGUAAAUAGUUUAGGGGCAAAUACACCUUUUCUUCAAGGAAUUAAUAGACCUCAAAUAAAAUGAGUCCAUUGUCACGCGCUAA